rnacentral:rRNA from 1 species
GUGCCAGCAGCCGCGGUAAUACAGGGGUCUCGAGCGUUAAUCGGAAUCACUGGGCUUAAAGGGUGCGUAGGCGGGCCUGUAAGUGCCCCGUGAAAUCCCCCGGCUCAACCGGGGAACCGCGGGGCAUACUGCGGGUCUUGAGGCAAGUAGAGGCCGGUGGAACGAUAGGUGGAGCGGUGGAAUGCGUAGAUAUCUAUCGGAACGCCGAAGGUGAAGACAGCCGGCUGGGCUUUGCCUGACGCUGAGGCACGAAAGCGUGGGGAGCAAACCGGAUUAGAAACCCCCGUAGUCC